AGUGAACGCUGGCGGUAGGCCUAACACAUGCAAGUCGAACGGCAGCACAGUAAGAGCUUGCUCUUACGGGUGGUGAGUGGCGGACGGGUGAGGAAUACAUCGGAAUCUACUUUUUCGUGGGGGAUAACGUAGGGAAACUUACGCUAAUACCGCAUACGACCUACGGGUGAAAGCAGGGGAUCUUCGGACCUUGCGCGAUUGAAUGAGCCGAUGUCGGAUUAGCUAGUUGGCGGGGUAAAGGCCCACCAAGGCGACGAUCCGUAGCUGGUCUGAGAGGAUGAUCAGCCACACUGGAACUGAGGCACGGUCCAGACUCCUACGGGAGGCAGCAGUGGGGAAUAUUGGACAAUGGGCGCAAGCCUGAUCCAGCCAUACCGCGUGGGUGAAGAAGGCCUUCGGGUUGUAAAGCCCUUUUGUUGGGAAAGAAAAGCAGCAGGUUAAUACCCCGCUGUUCUGACGGUACCCAAAGAAUAAGCACCGGCUAACUUCGUG
rnacentral:rRNA from 1 species